rnacentral:rRNA from 1 species
AUUGAACGCUGGCGGCAUGCCUUACACAUGCAAGUCGAACGGCAGCACGGGUGCUUGCACCUGGUGACGAGUGGCGAACGGGUGAGUAAUACAUCGGAACGUACCUUAUCGUGGGGGAUAACGCAGCGAAAGCUGUGCUAAUACCGCAUACGCCCUGAGGGGGAAAGCGGGGGAUCGAAAGACCUCGCGCGAUUAGAGCGGCCGAUGCCUGAUUAGCUUGUUGGUGGGGUAAAAGCCCACCAAGGCGACGAUCAGUAGCUGGUCUGAGAGGACGAUCAGCCACACUGGGACUGAGACACGGCCCAUACUCCUACGGGAGGCAGCAGUGGGGAAUUUUGGACAAUGGGGGCAACCCUGAUCCAGCAAUGCCGCGUGAGUGAAGAAGGCCUUCGGGUUGUAAAGCUCUUUUGUCAGGGAAGAAACACCGGCUCUAACACAGUCCGGGAAUGACGGUACCUGAAGAAUAAGCACCGGCUAACUACGUGCCAGCCGCCGCAGUAA